UACAGAGGUCUCAAGCGUUGUUCGGAAUCACUGGGCGUAAAGGGUGCGUAGGUGGCGAGGUAAGUCAGAUGUGAAAGCCCAGGGCUCAACCUUGGAAUUGCAUCCGAUACUGCUUUGCUAGAGUACUGGAGGGGUGACUAGAAUUCUCGGUGUAGCAGUGAAAUGCGUAGAUAUCGAGAGGAAUACCAAAGGCGUAGGCAGGUCACUGGACAGUUACUGACACUGAGGCACGAAGGCCAGGGUAGCGAACGGG
rnacentral:rRNA from 1 species